ACCUUCACAAAGGGGAGCCAUUGGCUGAGAACGGGGAAACCCGGACCCUUCGAACCUGUUCGUUAAUGCGAGCGUAGGGAUUUGUGAAUGGU
rnacentral:ncRNA from 12 species